UGGGGAAAAAUUAAAAAAUUAUAAAUAAUAAAAUAAAUUUUAAAAUUAAAAAAAAAUAAUGGGGGGUUAAAGUAUUUUUAAUAGAAAAAAUUUAAAAUUUUAUAAUGAAGUAGUAUUGUAAAAGAAAUUUGAAAUAAAUGAAAAAAGAGAAAUAAAAAAAAAGAAAAUUUAAUUUAUUGUAUCUUGUGUAUCAGAGUUUAUUAAAUAUAUUUUUUAUAAAAAAAAAUCUCGAAUUUAAAAGAGUUAAUUAAUUAAAAAAGUUAAUGUAGCAUAAUUAUUUUAAAUAAUUAAUUAGAAAUGAAAUGUUAAUCGUUUUUAAAUAUAUCUAGUUAUUUUAGAAAAAAAUUUAAUUUUUAAUUUAAAUAAUUUUAUAAUUUAUUAGUAAAAAUUAUGAAAAUUUAAAAUUAAAUAUAUUAAGGGAUAAGCUUUAAAUUAAAAAUUUAUAAUAAUUAAAAAUUUUAAUUAAAAUUUUUAAAAUUUAUAUUGUUUCAAAAUUAUAAUUUAUUAUAAAAAAUUUUAAUAAUAAAUAAAAUUUAACAAUUAAAAAUUUAAAUUUAUAUAAAAUAAUAAUUUUUAUUAAAAUAAAGUUAGAAAUUAUGAUAAAAUUAGUAUAAAUAAUUAAAAAAAAAUAAAUUAAAAAUUAAAUUAAAUAAAAGGAAUUCGGCAAAAAUUUAUAUUCACUUGUUUAUCAAAAACAUGUCUUUUUGAUAAUAAUUUAAAGUCUAAUCUGCCCACUGAUAAAUAUUAAAGGGCUGCAGUAUUAUGACUGUACAAAGGUAGCAUAAUCAUUAGUUUUUUAAUUGAAAACUUGUAUGAAAGAUUUGAUGAAAUAUAAACUGUCUCUUAUUUAUUAUUAGAAAUUUGUUUUUUAGUAAAAAAACUAAAAUGUAUUUAAAAGACGAGAAGACCCUAUAGAGUUUUAUAUUUAUAAUUUAUUUUAUUUUAUAUAAAAUUUAAUGUUAAAUUAAAUAUAAAUAUUAUAUUGGGGUGAUAGAAAAAUUUAAUUAACUUUUUUUAAAAAUUUAACAUUAAUAAAUGAUUAAAUGAUCCAUUAAUAAUAAUGAUUAUAAGAAAAAAUUACCUUAGGGAUAACAGCGUAAUAUUUUUUUUUAGUUCAAAUAAAAAAAAAAGUUUGCGACCUCGAUGUUGGAUUAAGAUAAAAUUUAAAUGCAAAAGUUUAAAAUUUUGAUCUGUUCGAUCAUUAAAAUCUUACAUGAUCUGAGUUCAAACCGGCGUAAGCCAGGUUGGUUUCUAUCUUUAGAAAAAUUAAAUAUUUUAGUACGAAAGGAUCAAAUAUUUAAAAUAAUUUUAAUAUAAGAAUUUUAAUAAUGAAUUAAUAA
rnacentral:rRNA from 1 species